UCUGCUCAAGAAAUCUGGUUUUGGGGUUAUCACAAGUCUCUUCUUGUCAGUGAUCCCAAACCUGGCGGAGGUGGAGGGAGGCAGGGUCUUGCCCCUUUCCGGAGGCCUACCAGGAAUGGUUUUUCGUAAAUUCCAUCAGCUAUGGAGCGUGGAAGUUCAAGACUAGAAUGCAAGCUCCGUGACGGCAAAAACCUUUGUUUAUUCACUGCUGUAUCCCAAAGGUGUGGUGACCAUCUAUUUAUCAUCCCAACCAGGAGGGAAAGGAGCUGCUAUUUUCUGGGAUGUCUUGGGUACAAACCAAGACUUUUUCCCAGC